rnacentral:rRNA from 1 species
AGCUUGCUUUCUUUGCUGGCGACCGGCGCACGGGUGAGUAACACGUAUCCAACCUGCCCUUUACUCGGGGAUAGCCUUUCGAAAGAAAGAUUAAUACCCGAUGGCAUAAUGAUUCCGCAUGGUUUCAUUAUUAAAGGAUUCCGGUAAAGGAUGGGGAUGCGUUCCAUUAGGUUGUUGGUGAGGUAACGGCCCACCAAGCCUUCGAUGGAUAGGGGUUCUGAGAGGAAGGUCCCCCACAUUGGAACUGAGACACGGUCCAAACUCCUACGGGAGGCAGCAGUGAGGAAUAUUGGUCAAUGGGCGUUAGCCUGAGCCAGCCAAGUAGCGUGAAGGAUGAAGGCUCUAUGGGUCGUAAACUUCUUUUAUAUAAGAAUAAAGUGCAGUAUGUAUACUGUUUUGUAUGUAUUAUAUGAAUAAGGAUCGGCUAACUCCGUGCCAGCAGCCGCGGUAAUACGGAGGAUCCGAGCGUUAUCCGGAUUUAUUGGGUUUAAAGGGAGCGUAGGUGGACUGGUAAGUCAGUUGUGAAAGUUUGCGGCUCAACCGUAAAAUUGCAGUUGAUACUGUCAGUCUUGGGUACAGUAGAGGUGGGCGGAAUUCGUGGUGUAGCGGUGAAAUGCUUAGAUAUCACGAAGAACUCCGAUUGCGAAGGCAGCUCACUGGAC